UUCAACCAGCCACACGCAUCGGGAAGCAAACAAUGUAUUGAACCAAAGGGUGUGCUUGACCACAGAACCCAGCGAGUCAGAUGGAUUCUCUCCGUUUGCAGGGUGGUUUCUGUGACGUGGGCCAAGCGGCUUUGGCUGCUGCACAUACUCUGUGAGAACUCAAAAAGGACACUACACUUCAAUGGAGAGGGAGUUCUUGGCAAACGUGCACCUUUCCAGAGCCUCCAGGAACAAGAGCUGCAUCUUUCAAGGAGGAAUUGAGCUCUGCAAGUCCCCAGGCACCCGAUGAUGCUUUUGCUUCUGGAUCACUUACUCUGGGGGAAGCCAGCUGAGAGGUCAGGAAGAUACCCAAGCUGUCCUAUGGAGAAGUCCAGGUGGUAAGAAGUGUAGGCCCCCUACCUACAGCCACAAGAACUAGUGGUCUUAGAAGCAAGCUGCUAGCCUCAUCUCAGGUGACUGGAGCCCCUGCUGACAUUUUGACUAUAACCUCAUGAUAGAUCAUGAGCCAGAAGCCAAUUCUGAGUUCCUGACUCACAGAAACUGUGA